rnacentral:misc_RNA from 1 species
GAUGAAGAACGUAGCGAAAUGCGAUAAGUAGUGUGCAUUGCAGAAUUCCGUGAAUCAUUGAAUCUUUGAACGCACAUUGCGCCUUCUGGUAUUCCGGAAGGCAUGCCUGUUCGAGAGUCAUUAACAACCGUUUCGAUCCCUUUCUUUCAGAAAUUACAAAGAGGAAAAGGGUUUGGUUAUGGUGGAGGAGGGAAAGGGAGCGUUUAGCCUGUAAAAAAAGAGGCUGUGUUCCGCCUCCCCCCCAAAAUUGUACAGGCGGUCGUGUGCGCCCACGCAUCGAGGUGUUGUAAAAGCUGCCACGGCACUUUUCACCUGUGCAGUGCGAGAUUGGCCAGCCGGUUUAAAAACCCCUCCAAACAAUCAAUGGUUGACCUCGGAUCAGGUAGGGAUACCCGCUGAACUUAAGCAUAUCAAUAAGCGGAGGA